UCACACGAGCUGAGAUGUAAAAACGGGUGUGGGUCACAAUCAGCCACGGUUUCGGGUGAACUCAUUGUGGGCAUCCUAGCCUCUUGACCUCAGGAUAUCACAUGAUACGCCCACGCACGUCCAGGAAUCCACAGAAGAAGUUGUGCUUUUUGCUGAUUUUGCAACCAUGUGGAGUGUACAUGAGUAUAUAAACACUGGUGUCAGAGCUGUUCAUAACCUGCACACUGGAAGACUGAAGCUACUGGCUGACACUGAAAAGAGAGAAAGACCUUCUAUAAAGAGACACCAUGAAGCUGCUGGUUGUGUCUGCACUUCUUUGUGGAUUGAUGGUUCUGACCACUGCUGCUUCCAAGAGACACCUGGUCAAGAGGUCCACUGGUUGUCCUUUUGGUUGGACUCGCAACAGUGAUCGCUGCUUUCUCUUUGUUCCAACCGCCAUGAGUUGGGCUAGAGCUGAGAGAAAUUGCUUGUCCAUGGGGGCAAACCUUGCAUCAGUGCACAGUGGCAAUGAGUACAAAACGAUUCAGAGUCUGACUGCCCCUCAUGGCAAUCCUAAAACUUGGAUUGGAGGGACUGAUGCACCCCAGGACUUUAUUUGGUUGUGGAGUGAUGGCACCAGUUUUCACUAUUCAUCCUGGUGCCCAGGAGAGCCCAAUAAUGAUCGCGGUCAGCAUUGUAUUCAGAUGAAUUAUGGAGGUUCCAAGGGCUGGGAUGAUGUGCAGUGUAAUGAACAUCUGCCAUCUGUCUGCGCCAAGAAAGUCUAAUGUUUCUUGGACUGAAACUGAUGUACGAUGGUGUUUGUGCUUCGCUAGCUCUUACUUUAUUUCAUUUUGCAGCAUUAUAUUUUUCCUCUCUAUAGCACCCAAACAAAAUGAUCAAUCAACACAAGUUGGGCUGUCAUUAAGGCCUUGUGACUUUAGUGGGAGCAGACUUGUUACCAAAGGAUUGAUUUUACAUUUUUCUUCUGCAGAGAAAACUGUUCUCUUCUUUCUUUAACAUUAAAGCAUCAAACAAGCA